rnacentral:rRNA from 1 species
AUUGAACGCUGGCGGCAGGCCUAACACAUGCAAGUCGAACGGUAACAGGAAGAAGCUUGCUUCUUUGCUGACGAGUGGCGGACGGGUGAGUAAUGUCUGGGAAACUGCCUGAUGGAGGGGGAUAACUACUGGAAACGGUAGCUAAUACCGCAUAACGUCGCAAGACCAAAGAGGGGGACCUUCGGGCCUCUUGCCAUCGGAUGUGCCCAGAUGGGCAUAGCUAGUAGGUGGGGUAACGGCUCACCUAGGCGACGAUCCGUAGCUGGUCUGAGAGGAUGACCGGCCACACUGGAACUGAGACACGGUCCAGACUCCUGCGGGAGGCAGCAGUGGGGAAUAUUGCACAAUGGGCGCAAGCCUGAUGCAGCCAUGCCGCGUGUAUGAAGAAGGCCUUCGGGUUGUAAAGUACUUUCAGCGGGGAGGAAGGGAGUAAAGUUAAUACCUUUGCUCAUUGACGUUACCCGCAGAAGAAGCACCGGCUAACUCCGUG